ACAAGAGAUUUCUUGUUCUACACAAACACACAGAGAAAAGAUGAUGUGAAUUUGCAGUGAGAAGAUAGACAAUGGUAAACCAGAAAAACAGUCCUCAUCAGAAGCCAACCAAUGUAGCACCUUGGCCUGGACCUUCCAGCCUUUCUACCCUCCAGAAGAGUAAACAGUUUUGUCACACAUUGCUACCAUGAUGUGCUGCAUGGUCACAGGCCCCAAAGUAGCAGGACUGAAUGACCAUAGGCUACGACAUUUUGAAACUAUUGCUAAGAAAUCCUGCUGUUUAUCUUUGGCAUGUGCAAGAUGGUGACAUAGAAGCCAGAAGAGAUACUGACGCAUA